ACAGAUAACAGCGCUACUACGAGACUCUACAGGGGUGGGUAAUUCACUGGUCCAUAAGCGGUCUCCUCUACGUCGAAGCCAUAAGACUUCAGCAUCCUUGACCAAGCUGUCCGUACGUGAUGGACAGAAAGCUAAAAAGCCACUGUGUAAAUUUGAAGAAGGUCAGGAUGUCCUAGCUAGAUGGUCAGAUGGCUUGUUUUAUCUUGGAACUAUCAAAAAGAUAAACAAACUGAAACAGAACUGCUUCAUUAUAUUUGAAGACAGUUCCAAAUCCUGGGUUCUCUGGAAGGACAUACAAACAGGAGCUACUGAGAGUGGGGAAAUGGUCUGUACGAUAUGUCAGGAAGAGUAUUCAGAAGCACCGAAUGAAAUGGUUAUAUGUGAUAAAUGUGGUCAAGGUUAUCAUCAGCUGUGUCACACACCGAAUAUUGAUUCCAGCGUGAUUGAUUCGGAUGAUAAAUGGCUCUGUCGACAGUGCGUUUUUGCAACAACAACAAAGAGGGGUGGCGCGCUUAAGAAAGGACCAAAUGCCAAAGCACUGCAAGUCAUGAAACAAACAUUGCCAUAUAAUGCAACAGACCUUGAAUGGGAUGCAGGUCAUAAAACCAAUGUCCAGCAGUGUUACUGCUAUUGUGGAGGACCUGGAGACUGGUACCUAAAGAUGUUGCAGUGCUGCAAAUGUAAGCAGUGGUUUCAUGAGGCUUGUGUGCAGUGCCUCCAAAAGCCAAUGCUUUUUGGUGACAGGUUUUAUACGUUCGUUUGCUCAGUUUGCAGUUCUGGACCAGAAUACCUCAAACGUUUACCCUUGAGAUGGGUAGAUAUAGCACAUCUAUGCCUUUACAACCUAAGUGUUAUUCAUAAGAAGAAAUACUUUGAUUCAGAGCUUGAACUCAUGGCAUACAUUAAUGAAAACUGGGAUAGAUUGCAUCCUGGUGAACUGGCAGAUACACCAAAAUCUGAAAGAUACGAGCAUGUACUGGAGGCAUUAAAUGACUACAAGACCAUGUUUAUGUCUGGGAAAGAAAUAAAGAAAAAGAAACAUCUGUUUGGCUUGAGAAUUCGUGUUCCUCCUGUGCCACCAAAUGCUGCUUUAAAAGCUGAGAAAGAACCAGAAGGAACAUCUCAUGAGUUCAAAAUUAAAGGCAGAAAAUCGUCUAAACCCAUUCCUGAUGUGAGGGAAUUAAGUAAUGGUAUAGAAAGAAAGGGGAAAAAAAAAUCAGUAGGUCGUCCACCUGGUCCCUAUACAAGAAAAAUGAUUCACAAAACUCCGGAGUCAUCUCCUCUGGAUAAUGAACCAAUUCCAGUGAUAGAGAACCCAGCCUUGGAAUUACCCUGCUCUGUUGGGAAAUCUGAUGGAACUGCACAUUCCUCCAAUACCUCAGAUGUGGAAUCCACAGGUGCUGCCAGUAUGAAAGAAACUACCUCAUCUAGCAUUUCCAGACAUUAUAGUUUAUCUGACUCAAGAAAAAGGACUCGUACAGGAAGAACUUGGCCUGCUGCAAUACCACAUUUGAGAAGAAGAGGUCGCUUUCCACGAAAAGCACUCCAGACUCAGAAUUCAGAAAUUGUAAAAGAUGAUGAGAGCAAAGAAGAUUAUCAGUAUGAUGAACUCAAUACAGAGAUUCUUAACAAUUUAGCAGAUCAGGAAUUACAGCUCAAUCAUCUAAAGAACUCAAUUACUAGUUAUUUUGGUGCAGCAGGUAGAAUAGCUUGUGGUGAAAAAUACCGUGUUUUGGCUCGUCGGGUGACACUUGAUGGAAAGGUGCAGUAUCUUGUGGAGUGGGAAGGAGCAACUGCAUCCUGACUGUAGGACUGAACAUUAUGUUCACUGCACUGUCAUCUCCAAAGGAAGCAGAGAAAACUUUGUUGUCCUGUGCUUGGUUUAUGGCUGGCCAGGUAAUAAAAUUAGCUUUAUAAAAACGCUAAUUAAAAACUGCCGCUUCUGUUUACCUUCACUAAAAAAUUUUUUUUUCUCACACCCUCAGCUAUUAAUUUAAUGUUGCCUUGCCUAUAGCUGCAAUAUUUUGAUAACACAGCAACUUCAUGUUAAUUUUUGAAUGUUUAUAUCUUGGGUUAAUGCAAAAUGUAAAGCCUUUGUAACCUUACUCACACCAUCUGUAUCUGUCUUUAUUAUUUCACUUUAUCCAAGUCCUUUAAUUCUAACUGAACACCAGCAGUAUUUUCGGUAAAGAUUCAAUUGAAGAUAAAUAUUGGAAUGUACUUGGGGACUUUAGAGGUGUGUGGGGGGAGAAAAUACUUGUCAAACUUAAGCUGUCCAUAGACUUAACUAUUGUGAAUGUCAUUGUUUCAUUUUAUUAUGGUGAUUGACUUGACUCUGAUGUUCAGUUUGUAUUUUUGGAAUUGUUUUUUUUUCUUAGAAUUAAAAGACCAACAUUAAAUGUGUGUAUUUUUUGAGAGAGGAGAAUGAGUUUUGAUUCCGUAUUGUUGAGAAAUACGUACUUGGUGGCUUCCUCCCAUCCGUUGUUCCUCUAGCUAUAGCUUUCCUGUGUGACCCUGGAGACACUUGCCCUGCACACAGACACUAACUUGUGUUCCUGCUGUGCUUGAGGGAUACUUUGUUACAAGGUCAUGCCUUUGGAAAUGCUGCCAUAGUGCUGCUGAAGAUAUGGCUAGGGUAGUAAUUAAAGCACACCUGCAAAUGCCUUUCUCUUAUUUAUAUAAAUUUUAAUGUACGGGGCAAUGGAGUGUCUAAGGGACAAACACAAAUGUUGAUGUACAUAAUGAUUUCUUAUUAGUAUUAUUUGAUUAUUGUAUGUGUGCAUGUGUGUAAAUAGAUGUAAUCCAGCCUUGAUGUGGUCACUGGUUCAAAAUCAUUUCCACGUGUGUCAGAUUUAAUAUUUUCUUAUUAGGUAUUAUUUGCAUGACUGUAGUAUUUAGAUAGGCAAACUCUUUUGUCUUGAGGCCAUUCUAAAGAUGUAGGCAUCAGGUGGAUGAACAAGACAGCAAAGAAGUAAUGGCACAUUAUUGGUCAGCGUUGUAAAACAAUGGUCAUAGCAAACUACUUGUCAAGUCAUUGUUCCCAACAGAAUAAGUUCAGGAAGAAUUUUGAAAAGUAACUAUGCUUUUAUAGGCAGAGGGGACAUUUUGAGUACAUGUUGAAUUUGUCUGAAUAUAAAGGAAUUUUGAAAAAUAGCAUGAUUUGUGGAAUGAAGGUUCAUAUUUUCAUUUAGCAAUAAAGAAGUCGGAAAUAAUCCAAAAAAGGGUCUUGAAAGUGAAGAAAAGCAGUUUGUGAUCAAGGGAGAGGAGGGGGAGGUGAGUGGAGAUAAACAGAAAAAUGGACAAGUAUUUGAAGCAUCCUAUUAAAGUGAUCUUUAGUGUUGUAUUUUAGAAGGAAAUUGGUGAAUUGGGUUGGAACAUGUCAAGACUGGAGAUGGAGCUAUAGUCAGAACACAGCGAUGAACUCGACAACAUCAGUUCUGUGCACAGAAGGGUGAGGAUGAAACUUGCAGAUGCUAUGCAGGUAAAAUUUUCCGGCUUUAAACCAUGCCACUUCUCCAGUUGCUUCACAUCUAGCUGAGUCAAAAGUAACACUGAAGUUAAGGUGAUAUGAUGGCAGAAAAUGAUAUUUUCUGAAAAUAGAGAAAAGGCUUAAGGUGGAAAGUUUUAAGUUCUUUUUGGGCUGUGCUGAACUUAAGUUGAUGCCUAACUACCCGUGUGGAGGUGUCAGAAAAACAUAUUGAGAUCUUAGUUCAGUCAGGACGAUGUAGUAAGGAGUUUGUUUGUUUGUUUGUUUCUUUGUUUAAUAUGAUUUGUCAACCUAAAGUCAUAGGCAAGUUGCUUUUUGCAAAUUGGAUCAUCUGAAGGUGAGGUGUAAAGAAGAGGAGGACAGAGAAAGGAUUGGAAUCCUUUGGAGACCCUGAAGAAUGUUGGAAGGGUAAUGACCGUCUUCUGAGAAGGUGUUUAUUUUUUAAUAUGUUGGCUAUACCUGAUCAGGAAUGCAAAUACUUCCUUCUGUAAGAUAAAUUGUUUCUUUAGAGGAGGAAAAUUAAAGAAUUUCUGGAGGCACUUAGCAGGUUCAGAUGAAGUUUUUAAAUACGGAGAGCCCCUAAACUUCAGGAACAAGUUUUAACAGGUGGAGAACAGUUCCUAUCAUGGAAGAGAGUAACAAGGGUAAGAAAGGCUUUCCACAACAGAUGGUGAAUGCUACGUUGUCCCUUUCAGAAGAUAGAGAAUGCCUCGUUGCAUGCAAAUUUCUAACUGGUAAUGUCACAAUAUUUCUACAUUCUUACAUAACAAAGGGCGGGGAGGGUGCAUAACAAAAGUUCAGUGGUGAUUCCUUUGGGCAUGAAUUAAUUGUCUAUGAUGUAAUCGGACCAUUGACAAAGAUAUAUUACUGCAAGAACUGAAUGUUGCUUUCUACUCUGCACAAACACCGUAUUAAGAGUAAAUUUAAUUACUAUUAUUUGAAACUUUUAUCUAUUACUAGUUUCAGUAGUAUUACUGACCUCUGCUACAAUUUGCACAAGACAGCACCUACUGUCCUUCCUAGAUUUGCUCCUAACCUCAUUGCAUGCAUAGCUGAAAGCCACUCAGCUUGGAAGGGGUGUACUACAGCUGUAAUACAGAAUACCAUUAUUAAUGAAACUGCAACUAUUGAAAAAUUGAAGGCUUUUUAGCUGGCAUACAUCCAAUAUCACUUCAGAAUUAAAUAUCUGCACUUUGUGUUACAGAGAUUACAGAGGUGGUGUCAAAUUCUGAUCUGACAGCUGUGUAAAUCUAAAGUCAUUUGCAUGAAGGAAGAAGUUAAAAGCUGCAUAACUCAAAG